GUGGUGACCUGCGGAGGAUCAUUA
rnacentral:rRNA from 1 species